rnacentral:rRNA from 1 species
UACGUAGGGGGCAAGCGUUGUCCGGAAUCAUUGGGCGUAAAGAGCGCGUAGGCGGUCCGGUAAGUCCGCUCUGAAAGCCCGGGGCUCAACCCCGGGAGGCGGGCGGAUACUGUCGGGCUAGAGUCCGGAAGAGGCGAGUGGAAUUCCUGGCGUAGCGGUGAAAUGCGCAGAUAUCAGAAGGAACACCGGUGGCGAAGGCGGUUCUCUGGGAAUGUUCUGACGCUGAGGAGCGAAAGUGUGGGGAGCGAACAGG